GCGGGCUUUUAGACUGAAAAGCAUCGAUUUACGCCUAUGAAAACAUUGCCACGGCAGCUAUUUUCACAUAUUGAACACUUACAGUAUUUUUUUUCCUCUGCAUAAUCAACAUUUGUUAAGGCCAGACUGCUAACUACCUUCGUAACUUCAAGUAGGACGUGGAAGAGUCUCGCUGCUGUUUGAGUUUGAUUCAUGGUUCACCUCAAGUAAACAAGCUGAUCUGAAGCGGCCUGGACUGGCAGCUGUGGGACUGCCCUGUCCCACCAAGCAGCAUCAGUGAGUGGAGAUGGACCCGUCUGAUGAUGUGGGGGACCCCGGUCACACACUCUAGACCGGGGAGCUGAAUAAUCCCCAAGCUCCUGAGGGCUGCAGUGCACAGAAGGACCCCUCACCCACAGACUUGCUGAG